rnacentral:rRNA from 1 species
CCUACGGGAGGCAGCAGUGAGGAAUAUUGGUCAAUGGACGAGAGUCUGAACCAGCCAAGUAGCGUGAAGGAUGACUGCCCUAUGGGUUGUAAACUUCUUUUAUAUGGGAAUAAAAUGUUCCACGUGUGGGAUUUUGUAUGUAACAUAUGAAUAAGGAUCGGCUAACUCCGUGCCAGCAGCCGCGGUAAUACGGAGGAUCCGAGGGUUAUCCGGAUUUAUUGGGGUUAAAGGGAGCGUAGGUGGAUUGUUAAGUCAGUUGUGAAAGUUUGCGGCUCAACCGUAAAAUUGCAGUUGAAACUGGCAGUCUUGAGUACAGGAGAGGUGGGCGGAAUUCGUGGUGUAGCGGUGAAAGGCUUAGAUAUCACGAAGAACUCCGAUUGCGAAGGCAGCUCACUGGACUGCAACUGACACUGAGGCUCGAAAGUGUGGGUAUCAAACAGGAUUAGAUACCCUGGUAGUC